GACGAACGCUGGCGGCGUGCCUAAUACAUGCAAGUAGAACGCUGAAGGAGGAUCUUGCUUCUCUGGAUGAGUUGCGAACGGGUGAGUAACGCGUAGGUAACCUGCCUGGUAGUGGGGGAUAACUAUUGGAAACGAUAGCUAAUACCGCAUAAUAGCAGUUGUUGCAUGAUAACUGUUUGAAAGGUGCAAUUGCACCGCUACUAGAUGGACCUGCGUUGUAUUAGCUAGUUGGUGGGGUAACGGCUCACCAAGGCGACGAUACAUAGCCGACCUGAGAGGGUGAUCAGCCAAAAUGGGAAUGAGAAAAGGCACAGAAUCAUAAGGGAGGGAGCAGUAGGGAAUCUUCGGCAAUGGACGGAAGUCUGAACGAGAAACGCCGAGUGAGUGAAGAAGGGUUUCGGAUCGUAAAGCUCUGUUGUAAGAGAAGAAAGAGUGUGAGAGUGGAAAGUUCACACUGUGACGGUAUCUUACCAGAAAGGGACGGCUAACUACGUG
rnacentral:rRNA from 1 species